AUCGCUCGCGAUGUUUAACUGACAUGAUUGUGGGACGUCCUACCGGUGGACUUAGCCUCUAUCUCUUCGGAUCUAGGGGCGGUCCAGCUAAUAUCCCAUCGCGGUGCUUUUCAUACGAGUGUCGAGGUGGGCCGGUACGUUUACUUUGAACAAAUUAGAGUGCUCAAAGCAGGCCAUCCUCGCCUGAAUACUGUGUGCAUGGAAUAAUGGAAUAGGACCUCGGUUC
rnacentral:rRNA from 1 species